AACAGGAUUAGAUACCCUGGUAGUCCACGCCCUAAACGAUGUCUACUAGUUGUCGGGUCUUAAUUGACUUGGUAACGCAGCUAACGCGUGAAGUAGACCGCCUGGGGAGUACGGUCGCAAGAUUAAAACUCAAAGGAAUUGACGGGGACCCGCACAAGCGGUGGAUGAUGUGGAUUAAUUCGAUGCAACGCGAAAAACCUUACCUACCCUUGACACGGCUGGAAUCCUUGAGAGAUCAGGGAGUGCUCGAAAGAGAACCAGUACACAGGUGCUGCAUGGCUGUCGUCAGCUCGUGUCGUGCGAUGUUGGGUUAAGUCCCGCAACGAGCGCAACCCUUGUCAUUAGUUGCUACGAAAGGGCACUCUAAUGAGACUGCCGGUGACAAACCGGAGGAAGGUGGGGAUGACGUCAAGUCCUCAUGGCCCUUAUGGGUAGGGCUUCACACGUCAUACAAUGGUACAUACAGAGCGCCGCCAACCCGCGAGGGGGAGCUAAUCGCAGAAAGUGUAUCGUAGUCCGGAUUGUAGUCUGCAACUCGACCGCAUGAAGUUGGAAUCGCUAGUAAUCGCGGAUCAGCAUGUCGCGGUGAAUACGUUCCCGGGUCUUGUACACACCGCCCGUCACACCAUGGGAGCGGGUUUUACCAGAAGUAGGUAGCUUAACCGUAAGGAGGGCGCUUACCACGGUAGGAUUCGUGACUGGGGUGAAGUCGUAACAAGGUAACC
rnacentral:rRNA from 1 species